rnacentral:rRNA from 1 species
AAGCGUUGUUCGGAAUCAUUGGGCGUAAAGCGCGUGUAGGCGGCUCGGUAAGUCUGCUGUGAAAGUCCAGGGCUCAACCCUGGGAUGCCGGUGGAUACUGUCGAGCUCGAGUCCGGAAGAGGCGAGUGGAAUUCCUGGUGUAGCGGUGAAAUGCGCAGAUAUCAGGAGGAACACCAAUGGCGAAGGCAGCUCGCUGGGACGUGACUGACGCUGAGACGCGAAAGCGUGGGGAGCAAACAGG